AUUUGAUUUGAUUUGGAAGAACGGUGGCUAGGAAAGACUCCCUAGAAAGGCAAAAAUAUGCCUACAUGUCUUUUUAAAAGUAUUAUCAACAUUUACUUAUGGUCCUCAGCAACAACCACAUUACAGCAUUUACAGAGGAAGCACAUGACAGUGGUGGAAUUAUUAGGGAAUUAAGUCAAGGUCAGAAUACGGUGUAUCUGUAGACACACCUUCAUUUAUUUGAUCUCCACCCUAAACAAAUAAUGGGUGAAUAGCAUGCUAUUCUCAUGCUUAAGUUUAAGGUCAGAAUACGCAUCGAGAGAAAAGUGCAUAAAAAGUGGAAUUAUGUUCCAUUUACCGUGUUUAACUCAGGUCAGAAUUCCCCCCUCUGUGCCAACCCCCUAAACACAAACAAAUACUAAGCGAUUGGUCCACAGUCAGUGCACCUAACACAAUGAAGAGAAGAGAUCUCAUUCAGGAUAGUAUGCCUGUGUGCAAUUGCCUUAGCUCAAUGAUUUAUGAAAAGGAGAACAAUGUCAGCCGAGAUGGGGACAGGGGUAUAAAUAUUCUGGGCCAUCACUGGGAAAUGAUUAUUUUGCUCCUGGGCUGCAGAAUGUGCAGUGAUAUAUGGCAGAACAAGGACAUCAGAGAAUCUGAGCAGAUUACAGGAUGCUAGCAUGUCCAAACACGCAACAAAUCAAAGGAGAUGAAUACCCUGACACUGUUUGAAUUCUACCAUAAUGUAUUAGUGAUGUUCAUAGAAAAGGGUCAAUGAAAUAAAUGGUGAAGAAGUA